UAGACUUCCAAGAAAAGCUCGCAAUGUCAUAAAUAAAGAAUGCCUGUACCAUAACCGACACAGGUGGGUAGGUAGAGUAUACUAAGGGGCGCGAGAUAACUCUCUCUAAGGAACUCGGCAAAAUAACUCCGUAACUUGGGGAGAAGGAGUGCCUUCUUUAAGAAGGUUGCAAUAACAAGAUCCAAGCAACUGUUUAUCAAAAACACAGGUCUCCGCUAAGUCGUAAGACGAUGUAUGGGGGCUGACGCCUGCCCAGUGCCAGAAGGUUAAAGAAGCUGGUUAGCAAUAGCGAAGCUGGUGACUGAAGCCCUGGUGAACGGCGGCCGUAACUAUAACGGUCCUAAGGUAGCGAAAUUCCUUGUCGGGUAAGUUCCGACCCGCACGAAAGGCGUAAUGAUUUGGAUACUGUCUCGGAGAGGGACUCGGUGAAAUAGACUUGUCUGUGAAGAUGCGGACUACCUGCACCAGGACAGAAAGACCCUAUGAAGCUUUACUGUAACCUGAAAUUGAAAUUGGACUUUAUUUGCGCAGUAUAGGUGGGAGGCGUUGAAAGUAAUCUUGCGGGAUUAGUGGAGCCAUCAGUGAGAUACCACUCCUAUAAUGUUAGAUUUCUAACUUUGGAUCAUGAUCUGGUCAAAGAACAGUUUCAGGCGGGCAGUUUGACUGGGGCGGUCGCCUCCCAAAUGGUAACGGAGGCGUACAAAGGUUUCCUCUGAACGGGUAGAAAUCGUAUCUAGAGUGUAAAGGCAUAAGGAAGCUUGACUGUGAGACCUACAAGUCGAGCAGGGACGAAAGUCGGUCUUAGUGAUCUGACGGUGCUGAGUGGAAAGGCCGUCACUCAACGGAUAAAAGUUACUCUAAGGAUAACAGGCUGAUCUCCCCCAAGAGUUCACAUCGACGGGGAGGUUUGGCACCUCGAUGUCGGCUCAUCGCAUCCUGGGGCGGUAGUACGUCCCAAGGGUUGGGCUGUUCGCCCAUGAAAGCGGUACGCGAGCUGGGUUCAGAACGUCGUGAGACAGUUCGGUCCAUAUCCGGUGUAGGCGUUAGAAUAUUGAGAGGAGCCUUCUCUAGUACGAGAGGACCGAGAAGGACAUACCUCUGGUGUACCAGUUAUCGUGCCAACGGUAAACGCUGGGUAGCUAUGUAUGGAGAGGAUAACCGCUGAAAGCAUCUAAGUGGGAAGCCCACCUCAAGAUGAGUAUUCUCA
rnacentral:rRNA from 1 species